AUGGCUGCCCAAAACAAGGAGGUCGACGCCCUGGUCCAGAAGAUCACCGGCCUCCACGCCGCCAUCGCCAAGCUGCCCUCGCUCAGCCCGUCCGCCGCCGUCGACGCGCUCUUCACCGACCUGGUCACCGCGUGCGUGCCCCCGAGCCCCGUGGACGUGACCAAGCUCGGCCCGGAGGCGCAGGCGAUGCGGGAGGGCCUCAUCCGCCUCUGCUCCGAGGCCGAGGGGAAGCUGGAGGCGCACUACUCCGACGUGCUCGCCGCCUUCGACAACCCGCUCGACCACCUCGGCGUCUUCCCCUACUACAGCAACUACAUCAACCUCAGCAGGCUGGAGUACGAGCUCCUCGCGCGCUACGUGCCCGGCGGCAUCGCCCCGGCCCGUGUCGCGUUCAUCGGCUCCGGCCCGCUGCCGUUCAGCUCCUACGUCCUCGCCGCGCGCCACCUGCCCGACACCGUGUUCGACAACUACGACCUGUGUGGCGCGGCCAAUGACCGCGCGAGCAGGCUGUUUCGCGCCGACAAGGACGUGGGCGCCCGCAUGUCGUUCCACACCGCCGACGUCGCGGACCUCACCGACGUGCUCGCUACUUACGACGUCGUCUUCCUGGCCGCGCUCGUGGGCAUGGCGGCCGAGGACAAGGCCAAUGUGAUCGCACACCUUGGCGCGCACAUGGCGGACGGGGCGGCCCUCGUCGUGCGCAGCGCGCACGGGGCGCGUGGGUUCCUGUACCCGAUCGUCGAUCCUCAGGACAUCGGCCGAGGCGGGUUCGAGGUGCUCGCCGUGUGUCACCCCGACGACGACGUGGUGAACUCCGUCAUCAUCGCACGGAAGUCCAACGACAUGCAUGCGAAUGGACCUUGCAACGGGCGUGGUGGACAGUACGCGCGGGGCACGGUGCCGGUGGUCAGCCCGCCCUGCAGGUUCGGUGAGAUGGUGGCGGACGUGACGCAGAAGAGAGACGAGUUUGCCAACGCGGAAGUGGCCUUCUAA
rnacentral:rRNA from 1 species